rnacentral:lncRNA from 1 species
UCCAUAUGUAAUAAGUAUAUGCAUAUUCUAGUUACUGGGUAGGAGUGCUAACCAGAUUAAAUCGGGUACGUUUUUUAUCCAGCCGUGAAAAUACUGCCCCCUAGCCAUAACAGGUUAACAGAUAGACCAAUAUUAUUUAUAUAAAUGUGACCCGAAACUAGGCAUAUGUCGCAAGUCAUGACUUCACAGGAGAGCCGUUUGAACAUAAAUGUGUUUUUUGGGGGAGAAAUACCUUCUCGAACAUUGCUGCCUUAAUAUCAAACUUGUAUGCCAUCUGUAAAUAUGAAGGAAACUGUUAAAUUACGAGCCUAGUUGGUUUAGCAACAGAAAAAGUGAGCAACCUUCCCACUACCAUGUACCGAGAUUAUGAGUGGGCUGGGCAUGCUGAGAGAUGAGUUUGGAUUGGUCUGCGGUGUAACAUCUUGUGUCUAUAAAAUGAGCUGCUCGUAAUGCGUAGAUAAUCCUUUCAAAGCAGUUUUUUGAAAGAUAUAACGUUAGCCAUGGAGAACUGCAAAUACGUUGCUACUGCCUUGUAUUUAUCAGGAGCUAUCGACAAAGGACAGUGAGAAAAAAUUGUGAUGACUACUUUCUGGAGGACGAUCGUGCUAUGCUGACUUGCUAACGUUACUCUAUGGAUAAUAAUAAAGAGUGACUUGACACAACAGGCCAAACAAGCUGUGCAAACUAAACGGAAAUGACACAGGACGUCUUAUUCAAUAAAAGGGGUUGCAGUCUGCCAUGAAGCUUUCAUCCAUACAUACGGCAUCAGUUUAACACGCCUGACUCUCCUCCACCAGUCAUACAAGGAGAAUGGUGUAAUGCCUCCCAUCAAAAAGAGAGCUGGCCCAAGCAAGCAUAGGUUACUCCUGAAGCAUGAGGAAUUGCUGCAAGUGACGAACUUCAUCAACAACGACGAAGAGGAUAAUGCUAUAGUAUUACCAGGACGCCACCCAGGACACAAACACUUUGGGGGAAAUCUGCAGCCAUCCCAUGUGACAAAAGCAGCAGUGUGGCAUCUCUACAAGGAAUCGAUGACAACACUUGGUAUUUUUUUAUUUAUUUCACCUUUAUUUAACCAGGUAGGCAAGUUGAGAACAAGUUCUCAUUUACAAUUGCGACCUGGCCAAGAUAAAGCAAAGCAGUUCGACAACAUACAAAAACACAGAGUUACACAUGGAGUAAAACAACAUACAAUCAAUGAUACAGUAGACAAAAAUAAGACUAUAUACAAUGUGAGCAAAUGAUGUGAGAUAAGGGAGGUAAAGGCAAAAAAAACGCCAUGGUGGCAAAGUAAAUAAAGUAUAGCAAGUAAAACACUUGAAUGGUAGAAUUAUAAUUUGAAGAAAGUUCAAAGUUAAAAUAUAAAUAAUACGGUGCAAAGGAGCAAAAUAAUAAAUAAAAUAAAUAAAUACAGUUGGGGAAGAGGUAGUAGUUUGGGCUAAAUUAUAGAUGGGCUAUGUACAGUUGCAGUGAUCUGGGAGCUGCUCUGAUAGCUGGUUCUUAAAGCUAGUGAG